GUAACAAGGUUUCCGUAGGUGAACCUGCGGAAGGAUCAUUACCGAGUGAGGGCCCUCUGGGUCCAACCUCCCACCCGUGUUUAACGAACCUUGUUGCUUCGGCGGGCCCGCCUCACGGCCGCCGGGGGGCAUCCGCCCCCGGGCCCGCGCCCGCCGAAGACACCUGUGAACACUGUCUGAAGUUGCAGUCUGAGAAACUAGCUAAAUUAGUUAAAACUUUCAACAACGGAUCUCUUGGUUCCGGCAUCGAUGAAGAACGCAGCGAAAUGCGAUAAAUAAUGUGAAUUGCAGAAUUCAGUGAAUCAUCGAGUCUUUGAACGCACAUUGCGCCCUCUGGUAUUCCGGAGGGCAUGCCUGUCCGAGCGUCAUUGCUGCCCUCAAGCACGGCUUGUGUGUUGGGCCCCCGUCCCCCCCCCCACCGGGGGGACGGGCCCGAAAGGCAGCGGCGGCACCGCGUCCGGUCCUCGAGCGUAUGGGGCUCUGUCACCCGCUCUUGUAGGCCCGGCCGGCGCCAGCCGACCCCCCUCAAUCUAUUUUUUCAGGUUGACCUCGGAUCAGGUAGGGAUACCCGCUGAACUUAAGCAUAUCAAUAA
rnacentral:misc_RNA from 1 species